CUCUAGGUACAACUGGGUGCACUGAUUGUUUUCUGGCUCCAGUUAACUCUCUCUCUGCUACUGUGAGGCUGCUGUGAGAUAAGUACACUCAAAGACUCCAGUGCUAUUCCGUGCCCACUGCCCAUAAGAGGAACAUGAGAGAGCAUUUGAAUUUGAUCCAAAUGACUGAGUUUAGCCGCUGCACACACAAAUCAAACUGACAAGUUCAUGCCCAGCCUACCACUACUGCAACUCAUCUUGACUCAUCUAAAGGACUUUCUUCUGAGAGGAAGGUUCCCUGGCCUUGCUCUCGUUUAAGGAACUUUCACCUAAAGUCAAUCAUAUUGCAUCCAUCCAAACCUGCCUGGUCUAAGGAGAAAGAAUCCAAACAGAUAAUAGCCUUGAUGAGAUCAUAACUAACCAGAGUCCAAGCAGCAAGUGAGAUGAUCAACUUGCCAGCCAACGCAUCCACUCCUAACAAACCAUUGGUCCACAAACAUCAACAAAAGCCAUAUUUCACCCAUCUUCUCUAUUCUGCCUGUCCUCCAUCUUGUGUCUGUCUGUUUGUUAAGAACAGGAUGACUGAAUGCCUUUCACAUCAGGAUUGAGAGUAAGAUUAACCUUAUCAUUUUCAACAAAGGUUGCUCUGAAAAUAAGAGACUGAUAUUUUGACUCCAAAAGGAGAAAUAAUUUGAUAAAGUCUGACUAAAUUUGUUUUGCAUAGUCAC